GACGAACGCUGGCGGCGUGCUUAACACAUGCAAGUCGAACGGAAAGGCCCUGCUUUUGUGGGGUGCUCGAGUGGCGAACGGGUGAGUAGCACGUGAGUAACCUGCCCUUGACUUUGGGAUAACUUCAGGAAACUGGGGCUAAUACCGGAUAGGAGCUCCUGCUGCAUGGUGGGGGUUGGAAAGUUUCGGCGGUUGGGGAUGGACUCGCGGCUUAUCAGCUUGUUGGUGGGGUAGUGGCUUACCAAGGCUUUGACGGGUAGCCGGCCUGAGAGGGUGACCGGCCACAUUGGGACUGAGAUACGGCCCAGACUCCUACGGGAGGCAGCAGUGGGGAAUAUUGCACAAUGGGCGGAAGCCUGAUGCAGCAACGCCGCGUGCGGGAUGACGGCCUUCGGGUUGUAAACCGCUUUCGCCUGUGACGAAGCGUGAGUGACGGCAAUGGGUAAAGAAGCACCGGCUAACUACGUG
rnacentral:rRNA from 1 species